UUUAAUAGGAUAUUAACAUUUAUUUUAAUAUAUGGUUUCUAAUAGUUUGGUAGUGGACACAUGCAAACAUUUGACUGAGACAGGGAUAUUUUCAAGUCAAGACUCACCUGUGCUUCCCUCUGAAUCAAGACUCACCAGUGCUUCCCUCUGAAUCAAGACUCACCUGUGCUUCCCUCUGAAUCAAGACUCACCAGUGCUUCACUCUGAAUUCAAGGCCGCCUUGGACAAUUUAAUGAGAUCUGGUGUCAAAACAGAAAGAAAACUGGAGUCUGGAGAUAUACCAUAGAGUUCCCCAGUUUAUCCAGCAUGUUGUCAUUCCAGUUGAAUGUGUAUGAAGAUCGAUCAACACCAGGAAAUAGACGUGAAGAUCCUCAUUCAAACAUUAGACUAAAUUAAUGAAUCCUGCCCUUUCUUGCGACCGAUCCGCAGCUAGAAUCUGGAGGUGAUAAUGUUCAAGAAAGUUUGAAGCAAUAAUGGAGCAGUCUCUGAGACAACAUAUAUCUCCAGCUACCAGGUUCACUCUUUCAGUUUUGAAUCACUGAUUUGGUCACCAUUUGUACCUUCAUAAGGAGUUUUUCAAAAUCUUUAAACUUGAAAACACACAAAAGCAAAGAGCCCAAAAUUCUUUAAGUUUUCUCAGAACAGUUAAAGUGAAUGAUUGAGGGAAAUUGCAUGUCCAUAGGAUUUGAGUAUUUACAGAGGUUUGUUUUAGAAUAAGUGAAUCAUUUAAUUUCACUAUUACCUUUUACCUGUUUUCAAUCCUUUCUACCAAACGUUAAUUCUACUUUUGUAUAUUUUCUAUAAUUAAUUUCUAGUAUAAAAUUUACUAUAUGUUCUAAAUUUUAAAAUAAAUAUUAUAAAGUGUUUCUAAUUAAGAUUUAUUUACUAUUAGAGUCCCUUCAUAUACACAUAUAUGUAUAUAUAUGUAUAAUAAAAUGGUUUAUAGAGAUACCUGAAGCCACAAAUUUCAUGUGUGUGGAAAACCUCUAUAAUCCAAUUGCAGCCUUGCCUGAGAUCAGUAAACUCACUGGAGCCACUGCAAGUAGGAUUCCAUGAACAUCAUGGUCUCAGGAUUGCUCUAUUAAAAGUGUGUAACAACGCCAUGGCUGUUGCUGAGGGAGGUUGUCUUUCAUUACUAGUUUGUGAGGACCUUUUGACAGGAUGUGAUCUGGGUCUCCGAACCAUCUUAUUGAUCAUGGCAGUUUCUUGUCCUUCUGUUAUAGCUAGGAAUCAGCUUCCUACCCAUAAUUUUUAAUAAUCAAUACAGAGAAUUCUGAGAACACGUGUCUGCUUGAAAGUUGAUAAGUGAUGUCAAUAUGCUAUAAAUGACAGUGGAAUUUAAUUUUAAUUCAAUACUCUCAAUAAUAAAUAUAAUUGUUGUAUUGUUUCAUGUUUUUGUAGAUAUUU